rnacentral:lncRNA from 10 species
UUGACUCACUGCAACCUCCACUUCCUGGGUUCAAGCGAUUCUCCUGCCUCAGCCUCCUGUGUAGCUGGGAUUACAGGCGCCCGCCACCGCACCCGGCUAAUUUCUGUAUUUUUAGUAGAGACGGUUUCACCAUCCUGGCCAGGCUGGUCUUGAACUCGUGACCUCGUGAUCCACCCGCCUCGGCCUCCCAAACUGCUGGGAUUACAGGCGUGAGCCACCACACCCAGCCCUAUAAUUUUUUUUUUAAUAAAAAAGAAAAAAGAGUUUUUUUAAAAAAAGCUUUUUCUGACCACCCAUUGCCUUUAGGACUACCCAGUAUGCAAAAAGUACUUCUGGGCCGGGUGCAGUGGUUCACACUUGCAAUCCCAGCACUUAGGGAGGCCAAGGUAGGCAGAUCACUUGAGGUCAGGAAUUCGACACCAGCCUGGCCAACACGGUGAAACCCGUCUCUACUAAAAAUACAAAAAUU